rnacentral:rRNA from 1 species
GAUGAACGCUAGCUACAGGCUUAACACAUGCAAGUCGAGGGGUAACGAGAGGAAAGCUUGCUUUCCUUGUCGACGACCGGCGCACGGGUGAGUAACGCGUAUCCAACCUGCCCCCAACUAAGGAAUAACCUUGCGAAAGUAAGACUAAUACCUUAUAAUUUCCUCAGAUGACAUCUGACGAGGAAUAAAGAUUUAUCGGCUGUGGAUGGGGAUGCGUCUGAUUAGCUUGUUGGCGGGGUAACGGCCCACCAAGGCAACGAUCAGUAGGGGUUCUGAGAGGAAGGUACCCCACAUUGGAACUGCGACACGGUCCAAACUCCUACGGGAGGCAGCAGUGAGGAAUAUUGGUCAAUGGGCGAAAGCCUGAACCAGCCAAGUAGCGUGCAGGAUGACGGCCCUAUGGGUUGUAAACUGCUUUUAUACAGGAAUAAAGUUAGCCACGUGUGGUUAUUUGUAGGUACUGUAUGAAUAAGGACCGGCUAAUUCCGUGCCAGCAGCCGCCGUAA